UCUUUGUAUCAAAGCAAAUGGAGAGGAUCCUGAUCUGUAUCCAUAGCUUCGGUUUGCAUUUGUAAGAUGCUAUGUUUAUAUUGAAAGGGUAUUGAAUUGAGUAAUUGGUUAUGUGAGACUUGCAGGAAUUGGGUGGCAUGAAUGAUUACAAAGGACCAAUAUUUCUGGUUAAGUGAACUGAUUAUGUAAAUGGGGUUUGGCUUUCCGUUUAGGUACAUGGAAGUGUUAUUAUGCACGAGAAUUCUGAUGUUUCCAAAUGUUAACUUUUAUGUUAAGUUAGCAACUUUAGAAUGCUGUUAUUACAUUAUUUUAAACUAAAAGUAAGAAAGGAAAUUGUUUGAGCUUGAUGGGAGUGACUGUACCAGUUGCUUUUAAAUUUUCAAAAUGGUCUAAGCUAAGACUAGGAGUGAAAUUCUGAGUUCCUAGAUUUAGGAUUUUUCACUUUUUGGUUAGAUUAUGAUUUGCUGCCAUUAACAUAUACUUGUUGUGAUGAUCUUAAUCGUAUACAGUUUUCAUUAUAUCUGAGUGAAGGUAUGUUGCAUUAUUGCCUUGAUAGAUUACAUGGUCUUAUAUAGUGGACAUACAUUAAUCGUGCUGAUUUUUGACUUGUGACUGGGAAAACAUUCAAAUUUCUGUAAUUGGAGAUUCCUCUAAGCUAUCAAGAUCCCUACAAGAGCUGAUAACAGGAAUUGAGGAGACCACCAACACUAAUUGUGGACUCCAACUUAUUGCUUUUUAAGGUUAGACAAUAGUAGAUAUGUGGGGCAGAUUGAGACUUUUCACCCUCUGGAAGCUUUCCUUGGAAUUCAUAGUCUCCAAACACUACAUCUGCUACUCCCUCUCCUUGACUCCCUGGCAACCAAGCUGCAACCAAUGCAUCCAUCUUUUCCAGAAGUUCUGGUUCCAAAACAAGAGGCCUUCCAGAUAUCAGAACUACCAAAGUUGGAACUCUUUCUGCAACCAUGUUAAUAACAUUGGCACCAUCAAAAGGAAUUUUGAGCUCUACAUUAUAUCCCUUGCCUUCAGCGUAAGCAGGCUCACCAACAACAACUAUAGCAUAGGAGAAUUCUAGGCCUUCAAAGGUUGCUGAUGAUGGGUUUUGCUCAUAUAUGACUUCUGAAUGUUCUCCAACUGCUUCUUUAAUGCCUUCCAAUAUUGUUGUCCCUACAACACAAGGAAAAUCCGUAUGAGAGAGGUAUAAAAAAAUACAAACCAUUCCAUUGCUUUUAACAUGGGUGCAUGGUCUUUCAAAUGUAUGUGUUCCCUAUUAUUGACUUAAUCAAAAUUUCCUCUUUUUAUCUC